CAGUCGCCGCGGGAAUACGUAGGGUGCAAGCGUUAAUCGGAUUUACUGGGCGUAAAGCGUGCGUAGGCGGCUUUUUAAGUCGGAUGUGAAAUCCCUGAGCUUAACUUAGGAAUUGCAUUCGAUACUGGGAAGCUAGAGUAUGGGAGAGGAUGGUAGAAUUCCAGGUGUAGCGGUGAAAUGCGUAGAGAUCUGGAGGAAUACCGAUGGCGAAGGCAGCCAUCUGGCCUAAUACUGACGCUGAGGUACGAAAGCAUGGGGAGCAAACAGGAUUAGAUACCCCUGUAGUCCCUGUCUCUUAUAC
rnacentral:rRNA from 1 species